GAGCACGUAGGUGGGUUUGUAAGUCAGAUGUGAAAGCCUCCUGUUCAACGGGAGAAUUGCAUCUGAAACUGUGAAUCUUGAGUGUAGGAGGGGAGAGUGGAACUUCUGGUGGAGCGGUGAAAUGCGUAGAUAUCAGAAGGAACGCCGGCGGCGAAAAGCGAUUCUCUGGCCUAUUACUGACACUCAGUGUGCGAAAGCUAGGGGAGCAAACGGGAUUAGAUACCCCGGUAGUCCUAGCCGUAAACGAUGGGCACUAAGUAGAGGGGUUUU
rnacentral:rRNA from 1 species